rnacentral:rRNA from 1 species
CCUACGGGAGGCAGCAGUGGGGAAUAUUGCACAAUGGGGGAAACCCUGAUGCAGCAACGCCGCGUGAGUGAAGAAGUAUUUCGGUAUGUAAAGCUCUAUCAGCAGGGAAGAAGAUGACGGUACCUGAGUAAGAAGCCCCGGCUAACUACGUGCCAGCAGCCGCGGUAAUACGUAGGGGGCAAGCGUUAUCCGGAUUUACUGGGUGUAAAGGGAGCGUAGACGGUGAGACAAGUCUGAAGUGAAAGCCCGGGGCUCAACCCCGGGACUGCUUUGGAAACUGCCUGACUGGAGUGCUGGAGAGGCAAGCGGAAUUCCUAGUGUAGCGGUGAAAUGCGUAGAUAUUAGGAAGAACACCAGUGGCGAAGGCGGCUUGCUGGACAGUAACUGACGUUGAGGCUCGAAAGCGUGGGGAGCAAACAGGAUUAGAUACCCCAGUAGUC